UACAGAGGUCUCAAGCGUUGUUCGGAUUCAUUGGGCGUAAAGGGUGCGUAGGUGGCGCGGUAAGUCGGGUGUGAAAUUUCGGAGCUUAACUCCGAAACUGCAUUCGAUACUGCCGUGCUUGAGGACUGGAGAGGAGACUGGAAUUUACGGUGUAGCAGUGAAAUGCGUAGAGAUCGUAAGGAAGACCAGUGGCGAAGGCGGGUCUCUGGACAGUUCCUGACACUGAGGUACGAAAGCGUGGGGAGCGAACAGG
rnacentral:rRNA from 1 species